rnacentral:rRNA from 1 species
UUCCAGACUCCUACGGGAGGCAGCAGUGAGGAAUAUUGGUCAAUGGCCGAGAGGCUGAACCAGCCAAGUCGCGUGAGGGAAGACGGCCCUACGGGUUGUAAACCUCUUUUGUCGGGGAGCAAAGCGAACCACGUGUGGUUCAUUGAGAGUACCCGAAGAAAAAGCAUCGGCUAACUCCGUGCCAGCAGCCGCGGUAAUACGGAGGAUGCGAGCGUUAUCCGGAUUUAUUGGGUUUAAAGGGUGCGUAGGCGGAAUGCCAAGUCAGGGGUAAAAUCGCGGGGCUCAACCUCGCUCCGCCGUUGAAACUGGCGUUCUUGAGUGGGCGAGAAGUAUGCGGAAUGCGUGGUGUAGCGGUGAAAUGCAUAGAUAUCACGCAGAACUCCGAUUGCGAAGGCAGCAUACCGGCGCCCAACUGACGCUGAAGCACGAAAGCGUGGGUAUCGAACAGGAUUAGAUACCCCUGUAA